GCUCAGGAUGAACGCUGGCGGCGUGCUUAACACAUGCAAGUCGAACGAACCUUCGGGUUAGUGGCGGACGGGUGAGUAACGCGUGAGAAUCUGCCCUCAGGAGGGGGAUAACGGCUGGAAACGGCCGCUAAUACCCCAUAUGCCGAGAGGUGAAAUGAAUUUCGCCUGAGGAUGAGCUCGCGUCUGAUUAGCUAGUUGGUGGGGUAAGRGCCCACCAAGGCUUCGAUCAGUAGCUGGUCUGAGAGGAUGAUCAGCCACACUGGGACUGAGACACGGCCCAGACUCCUACGGGAGGCAGCAGUGGGGAAUUUUCCGCAAUGGGCGCAAGCCUGACGGAGCAACGCCGCGUGAGGGAUGAAGGCCUCUGGGCUGUAAACCUCUUUUAUCAAGGAAGAAGAUCUGACGGUACUUGAUGAAUAAGCCACGGCUAAUUCCGUGCCAGCAGCCGCGGUAAUACGGGAGUGGCAAGCGUUAUCCGGAAUUAUUGGGCGUAAAGCGUCCGCAGGCGGUYUUGUAAGUCUGUCGUUAAAGCGUGGAGCUUAACUCCAUUUCGGCGAUGGAAACUACAAGACUAGAGUGUGGUAGGGGCAGAGGGAAUUCCCGGUGUAGCGGUGAAAUGCGUAGAUAUCGGGAAGAACACCAGUGGCGAAGGCGCUCUGCUGGGCCAUAACUGACGCUCAUGGACGAAAGCCAGGGGAGCGAAAGGGAUUAGAUACCCCUGUAGUCCUGGCCGUAAACGAUGAACACUAGGUGUCGGGGGAAUCGACCCCCUCGGUGUCGUAGCCAACGCGUUAAGUGUUCCGCCUGGGGAGUACGCACGCAAGUGUGAAACUCAAAGGAAUUGACGGGGGCCCGCACAAGCGGUGGAGUAUGUGGUUUAAUUCGAUGCAACGCGAAGAACCUUACCAGGGUUUGACAUCCUGCGAAUCCCUUGGAAACGAGGGAGUGCCUUCGGGAGCGCAGAGACAGGUGGUGCAUGGCUGUCGUCAGCUCGUGUCGUGAGAUGUUGGGUUAAGUCCCGCAACGAGCGCAACCCACGUCUUUAGUUGCCAGCAUUUAGUUGGGCACUCUAGAGAGACCGCCGGUGAUAAACCGGAGGAAGGUGUGGAUGACGUCAAGUCAUCAUGCCCCUUACAUCCUGGGCUACACACGUACUACAAUGCUACGGACAAAGGGCAGCAAACUCGCGAGAGCUAGCAAAUCCCAUAAACCGUGGCUCAGUUCAGAUCGUAGGCUGCAACUCGCCUACGUGAAGGCGGAAUCGCUAGUAAUCGCAGGUCAGCAUACUGCGGUGAAUACGUUCCCGGGCCUUGUACACACCGCCCGUCACACCAUGGAAGUUGGCCACGCCCGAAGUCGUUACUCCAACCCUUGUGGAGGAGGACGCCGAAGGUGGGGCUGAUGACUGGGGUGAAGUCGU
rnacentral:rRNA from 1 species